rnacentral:rRNA from 1 species
GAGUUUGAUCCUGGCUCAGAUUGAACGCUGGCGGCGUGCUUAACACAUGCAAGUCGAGCGGUAACAGGCGUAGCAAUACGUGCUGACGAGCGGCGAACGGGUGAGUAAUGCUUCGGAAUCUUCCUCGUAGUGGGGAAUAACCUGGGGAAACUCAGGCUAAUACCGCAUACGAACUACGGUUGAAAGCAGGGGAUCGCAAGACCUUGCGCUAUGAGAUGAGCCGAAGUCGGAUUAGCUAGUUGGUGAGGUAACGGCUCACCAAGGCGACGAUCCGUAGCUGGUCUGAGAGGACGACCAGCCACACUGGGACUGAGACACGGACCAGACUCCUACGGGAGGCAGCAGUAGGGAAUAUUGGGCAAUGGAGGAAACUCUGACCCAGCCAUGCCGCGUGCAGGAUGAAUGCCCUCUGGGUUGUAAACUGCUUUUAUACGGGAAGAAAAAUAGCUACGGGUAGCACAUUGACGGUACCGUAAGAAUAAGGAUACGGCUAACUCCGUGCCAGCAGCC